ACCAAAACACAUUCUAAAGAAGCCAAUAGGACUCCCCAACUUCUAACUGAGGGAUAAGGAAGGACAUUUCUGAUUCCCAUCCUCCGGGAGACCUCCCCUUGCCACCCUCUUAAUUUCUUUGGUCCGAGCUCUGGUCUGGUAAUGGUAUUUCCUUCUCCCAGAUUUCACAACCCUGCAAUGGUGGAUGCCUGUGGUUGACAAAAUUUGCGCUCAAUCAUUUCAAUUAACCAUGAAACGAUCAAUCAUUUUUAUUUGGCCAUUCUCUAGGCAGUUCAGCAUAAAAGUAAAGAAAGAAAUGAGGUUCUCAAAGCUCACCCAUUAUCCUUUCUAGUCGUGAUAUUCCAUAUAAUGCAAAACAAUCACAUUACUGUUCUUAAGGUAGAAAAUGUUAACAAAUAGAGCGAACAGACAAUAGAUUUCAACAGAUUAUAGGAUCCCAUAACAUAUGCAAACUCAUCUAUCACAAUUAGGCUAGUAAUUCUUGGAAAGCAUAGUAAAUUGGUAGAAACGUCUGAGAAUCUAAGGAUUAUAUAAAAGGCAACAUUCUGAAUACUAUAAAUAUUUCAUAUAUGAAAUAUUCAUAAAUGAAAUCAAUAUCUGUAUGGGGGAUCAACAGUACAGUAUAUGUACAUUUCAUAAACCAGAUAUGACAAACCAUGACCAUCUAACUUGAGGGCUUUCAACAUUCCAGCUGCAAAUCAGAACAUCAUGAGGAUCACGGAAGAAAAACAAUCAACUGCAGCAUUCAAAAUUAGACCUGGAAAAAGGAAAAAUAAACUUCACAUAAACCCAAAAAAGGGUAAAAGAUUCUAAUUGAUAAAAUAUGGUAACAAUAGCAAGUGUAGAGUAGCCCCGCUGGAGCAUUGAUCAAAUUGAGCAAGUGCAAGGAUGUCUGGAACACUAACGCAAAGGGUGGCGCACCAUAAUUGCCAUCUGAUAGCCACUAUUGCAAGGUAAUAGCGGAGAGACAAUAUUGAACAUGUGAUCUAGGUAUAUAACAUCCCUCGCACCAUAGGAAAAGAAAAACAGAACAAAAAUCAAAAGAGGCGAACAUUGAAAUAAUAUACAUAUUAAUGAUAUCUUACAUCUAGGGCAAAAUUCUACAAGAUAUUAGAAAGCUAAGAAGAAAUAGAAAUCCUGAGAAUACUAUGCUCCUGACUCAACUAAUAGAAUCUUUUGUUUCUCAAUUUGAAAAUAGAAACAAAGAAAGGGGGAAAAUCACAUGAUACGUGCAAUUUCCAGCAACAAAAGGAUUCAUGAAAACCAUGCCGUCAAAGUAAAGAUUAAGUUCUCACACUUAAACGACCGAGUAUCUGCCUGGUUGUGAUCCACCGGGUAGUGACAGUGUUUGGUUUGUAAUGUCCUCAAGGACACGUUUUAACUCAGCUUUAGCUCUCUUAACAGAUUGUUCAGUAGGACCUUCAAUGAACAAGUAAAGCUUGCGCUCUCCAGGUCCAGCAAUCUUGCCUGGUGGAAAGAACUGUCCCCUAGUAGUAAUAGCAGCUCCAGUCCACUCUGAAAUUGGGCCUAAGGUCUCCUUAUGGGUUACCUUCCAUCGAGCAUUCUGUGGGAAAUCGUUAAUUUCCAAUUCAGCUUCAUAGUGUUCAGGUAUUGCACUAGCUUGAAUCUUGGCUAGGUUGUGUUGCAAGUUCAUUGCAGCUGCUAGUGCUGCCCUUGCAGCAGCCCCAUCAUUAGUAACUGUAGGCAAUGUUGCACUAGGAAUAACUGGCAUUGUUCCUGGAAUUGUGAGCCCAAGAACACCGGGCAGAGAAACAGGUAAUCCCCCAUUUGGAAGUAGCUGAGCAGCAGAGCUGGGAGUUGUGAUUGAAACUGCACUGACUUUAGUGGCAGCUGCUAUAGCAGCUAUC
rnacentral:lncRNA from 1 species